GACGAACGCUGGCGGCGUGCCUAAUACAUGCAAGUCGAACGAACUCUGGUAUUGAUUGGUGCUUGCAUCAUGAUUUACAUUUGAGUGAGUGGCGAACUGGUGAGUAACACGUGGGAAACCUGCCCAGAAGCGGGGGAUAACACCUGGAAACAGAUGCUAAUACCGCAUAACAACUUGGACCGCAUGGUCCGAGUUUGAAAGAUGGCUUCGGCUAUCACUUUUGGAUGGUCCCGCGGCGUAUUAGCUAGAUGGUGGGGUAACGGCUCACCAUGGCAAUGAUACGUAGCCGACCUGAGAGGGUAAUCGGCCACAUUGGGACUGAGACACGGCCCAAACUCCUACGGGAGGCAGCAGUAGGGAAUCUUCCACAAUGGACGAAAGUCUGAUGGAGCAACGCCGCGUGAGUGAAGAAGGGUUUCGGCUCGUAAAACUCUGUUGUUAAAGAAGAACAUAUCUGAGAGUAACUGUUCAGGUAUUGACGGUAUUUAACCAGAAAGCCACGGCUAACUACGUGCCAGCAGCCGCGGUAAUACGUAGGUGGCAAGCGUUGUCCGGAUUUAUUGGGCGUAAAGCGAGCGCAGGCGGUUUUUUAAGUCUGAUGUGAAAGCCUUCGGCUCAACCGAAGAAGUGCAUCGGAAACUGGGAAACUUGAGUGCAGAAGAGGACAGUGGAACUCCAUGUGUAGCGGUGAAAUGCGUAGAUAUAUGGAAGAACACCAGUGGCGAAGGCGGCUGUCUGGUCUGUAACUGACGCUGAGGCUCGAAAGUAUGGGUAGCAAACAGGAUUAGAUACCCUGGUAGUCCAUACCGUAAACGAUGAAUGCUAAGUGUUGGAGGGUUUCCGCCCUUCAGUGCUGCAGCUAACGCAUUAAGCAUUCCGCCUGGGGAGUACGGCCGCAAGGCUGAAACUCAAAGGAAUUGACGGGGGCCCGCACAAGCGGUGGAGCAUGUGGUUUAAUUCGAAGCUACGCGAAGAACCUUACCAGGUCUUGACAUACUAUGCAAAUCUAAGAGAUUAGACGUUCCCUUCGGGGACAUGGAUACAGGUGGUGCAUGGUUGUCGUCAGCUCGUGUCGUGAGAUGUUGGGUUAAGUCCCGCAACGAGCGCAACCCUUAUUAUCAGUUGCCAGCAUUAAGUUGGGCACUCUGGUGAGACUGCCGGUGACAAACCGGAGGAAGGUGGGGAUGACGUCAAAUCAUCAUGCCCCUUAUGGCCUGGGCUACACACGUGCUACAAUGGAUGGUACAACGAGUUGCGAACUCGCGAGAGUAAGCUAAUCUCUUAAAGCCAUUCUCAGUUCGGAUUGUAGGCUGCAACUCGCCUACAUGAAGUCGGAAUCGCUAGUAAUCGCGGAUCAGCAUGCCGCGGUGAAUACGUUCCCGGGCCUUGUACACACCGCCCGUCACACCAUGAGAGUUUGUAACACCCAAAGUCGGUGGGGUAACCUUUUAGGAACCAGCCGCCUAAGGUGGGACAGAUGAUUAGGGUG
rnacentral:rRNA from 1 species